GCCAGAACCAUAUCAUCCUGCAGCUCUCGUCUGGUGUCCCGCUAAGCAGGGUUGAGCCUGGACAGUACCGGGAUGGGAGACCUCAUGGGGAAACUAAGCUUGCUGCUGGAA
rnacentral:rRNA from 1 species